AAGCUUGAUGACGAUGGUAUUAUCUCAUAUAUUCUUGGAGGAUUAGAAGCAGAUUACAAUCCUCUAGUGGCUUCUGUCUCCUCAAAAGAUUACAUAUCAUUAAGUGAUUUGUACGCUCAGCUGCUUUCUUUCGAGG
rnacentral:snoRNA from 1 species